GCCGGGAAGAGGAAGAAAGAGAGAGCUCAAGAACACUGGGAAUGGGAACAUGGAGGAAAGCCCUGCUUUUUCGUUUGCACCUCUAGCGUUGGAGGUGCAAAGAUUUGGCAUGGAUCCUUUCCCAAUGCCUCCCAUUCCUACCGUUGUUGUGCACUCCUUCCUCUUCCUUUUGGAU
rfam:Triticum aestivum genome assembly, contig: Triticum_aestivum_CS42_TGACv1_scaffold_320624_4BL